rnacentral:rRNA from 1 species
UACAGAGGUCUCAAGCGUUUGUUCGGAUUCAUUGGGCGUAAAGGGUGCGUAGGCGGCGCGGUAAGUCGGGUGUGAAAUCUUCGGAGCUUAACUCCGAAACUGCAUUCGAUACUGCCGUGCUUGAGGACUGGAGAGGAGACUGGAAUUUACGGUGUAGCGGUGAAAUGCGUAGAUAUCGUAAGGAAGACCAGUGGCGAAGGCGGGUCUCUGGACAGUUCCUGACGC